rnacentral:lncRNA from 1 species
GUACAUGCUAUUGGAAUUCCCAACAAACUUGACAGGAUGGAUCAGUCACACGUUGGUUACAUCAAGUCUUCUAAAGGUAUCCCGUAAUCUAUUAAUCAAGAUGUUUGCAGAACUAAAUAAUGUUGUAGUGACUGAACGAUUACCUGAUAAAUUAAAUUCAGUAAGUAUAUCAUUUACAGUAGCAUCUUAUUCUUAUGUGAUGUAAUAUAUGAUCAUAUGGAUUGCAGUAUUUGAUAGCUCCAAAAUAACUUCAAGAUUUUGCCACGUGCUCUCAAACAAUCGUAGUCUAAAAAUUUGGUGGCCAGUUGCUGCUAUCUCUACUCUACUUCGUCCUUUCAUAAUGGCAAUAAGAAAUCUUGAUUGCUGCCGACAUGAAAUUCUAACUGAAUUUGUUAUUCAGCGGGCAAAUCCAACAUCUUUUUGUACUGUAUUUGCAUGUUCCAGGAUAAUUUGGUGGCAAAAGAGCUACGUCGUUUCUCACUAGACCAACAGACAAUAGUAGUGAUACCUUUGCAUUUAUAUAGUACCAUAUUUACUCAUCUGUAUACACCGUUCCUUUCAUUCCUCACACCACAAGUAUCUAACGGCCGGAUAGGUCCAGUCCAACCGAGACACAUAUAUUCCAGUCCAACAUACUCCCUCCAUCCAAAAAAGCUUGUCCCAAGCUUUUUCGGAUGGAGGGAAUAUAUAGUCCAGUCACACAUGCUCUAACAUGAUUUCACGAGAGACAGUUAGGCCAGCAACGGUAUAUCCGUAAAGAACAGCGACAGCUAAAGGAAACCAUUCAGCAGGUAAGAAUGAGAUAGACUUUUCAGUGCCAGGCAACCAUUGCGCUGUAGAGAAGUGGAACAACAUUCAUGGUACUGCUAUUGUUAAUCGAAAGAACUUUCUUUUGUUAACAUGGUACCCACUAACGUGUGCAUAUGCAUUUUUCUCCUGUAGUCCUAGAGGGAUAAAGACACAUAUAAUUACGAUGGAGGUGACAGGCCUGAAAAUGUGAGAAUUGAAGCAAUACAUUCCCUUGUAUAUAUGUUUUCUCUUUUGAAAUAUCUCAAUAGUUUUCCAAUUUGUUUCCUGUAAAUCUCAUAUUUUAAUACUCCUUAGACCUUAGUAAUGCAUAGGUGUAAUAUUUGUUGAUAUUGCAAUUUUGAAGGAUCUGCUUUUCUUGUAUAGAUCUAUUUUUUUAAUCUUGAAGGCAGUACGAGAGGCCCUAAUGACAUAUAUACAGUACUAACAAGAAUAUGGGGGCUUUCAUAACUUGAGGUAGCUUCCAUCUUCUUGUUGUGUAUUUAUUUUUCUUAGAUGAAAAUCUUACACCAAGAAGUGGGGUCUCUCAGAAAAUUAUCAUUGUUAUUCUCCUUUUCAUUGUUUGGGCUUUUUUUCUCAAUAUAUGCUUCUACAAAAAAAAUGUAGGUCGGCCCCAUGUUGCCACCGUGGCCGGUGACUCGGGUGGAUCCAAUCCCCCCGGCCUCCAGGGUCAUUGUGCCCUCUCUCCAUUACCUCCUUCGUCGCUGGAGGAUGCUGACGGGCUAAGCCUAGGGGGUCGACGAUGAUGGCGGAGGCUCCUGCCUUCACUGCAUCGGUGGAUCACGCGGAAUCUCUGGGCACAUGGAGCAUUGCCAAAACCAGCACCAGGGUGGCGCUCGGCUGACUCCCGACGUUGGUUCCACACAAACACAUGGGGAGGGGAACUAUAUGUUACAAUCUGAAAAUGGCUAAGGAGACAUCAGAUCUACCUUCUUGGCUCGGAGGGUGUCAUGGGUGGCGCACAACUCCCCCCUAUCGACAGAAACACAUGGGGAGGGGAACAGAACAGAGAGCGGGGCGGUUGGCGGGGGACUCCUCGGCGGUCCGUGGGGAAAUACAAUGUGAAGAAGAGAGUGCGACAUGACGAAGGUGAGAUGGGCGUUAUCUGGUUUCAAUGGAGAGGGCUCCAGUGAAAAAUGUCCCGUUAUGGCGGGAAACGAGUGGGGAGGUGAGGGUUCGGCAGGGAAAGAGAAGGGUGCGUCGUGGGUGUGGUUUUUUUUAAUUUGUUCGGCGCGCACUUGUUAGAGAUAACAUGGCCAAUAGUCUGGAUAACCAUAUUUCUUCCUCACAUAUGGAUAUGCAUGGAUUUGAAGAUACCCUAUUCUCGAGACGGUUGAAUUUUGGGGAUCCUGUUAGAUGUUCGUUUGAUGUACGUUCACACUCGAACGUAGGAGGGAGAAAUGAGCUUCCACUUUAGAAUUUAAUUAUUUUUUUGAUUUAUUUAUAUGCAUUGUAGUCCGUAGCAACGCACGGGCAUUCUACUGGACUGACAUAAAGUCAGUGAGUUCAAAAUUUCCAUGUUUAGUUUUGACUGAUGUUAUGGUUCUUCAUUGAGUUUUGUUCCAGGUAUUUACCUAGAUCCUUGAAAUGCUAUUCGUAUUGGCCUGAAUGCAGUUGAAUUCUGAAUCAUAAACAAGCUGGGAGAUUUGUCUUCCACAUAGUAGGUGCUGAUGCUUAUGAUUUUCUUCAAAAAAGAUAUGGGAAAGGCUAACCCAAUAUUUUAGUUUUCAUUAUGAGGACCAUGUACAUAAUCGACCAUAUAGUUCAAAAAAGAUCUAUUGGUGAAGGUUUGUUUGAGUUCCACUAUUUCAGUUCACACAUGUACAUGUUCUGUAUUUUUUGCAGUUUUUAGUGCAUGCUCGGAGAACAAGAUAAGAGGAGAGGCUUGAAUCUUGAGAUGACAAGGGUAGUCACCUGCUGCGACUAAAGGUUCAGUUUCAUACUUCUGAUGAUAUUGUUCGGAUGAUUGCCCUUGUACUAUUCUUUUUAGUACGUACUAAAAUAUCUUGUUGUACGAAAAUCUGAUUUCUACUAAAACUUUGUCAAGUGGCUCAUUUUUCUUGUACUAAUAUCUGAAUUUUUUUACUGAUUACUGAAAUGUACCUUGUUACUAAAACUUCAUAGGAAGGAGGUCAAUGAAGCAAAAGGCACGAAAAGGAAGGAGCAGCGCCACAGGGACGAUGUUGUCGGCAGCGCUUUGGAAGGAUUCGCUCCAGAGAAGUUACGGUAGUCGGCCAUCGCCCAGGGGAAGCGGGGAGGAUGUCGUUCGAAACGCCUGGGUCUAGAGGAGUGUGUCCAGGUGGUGGCCGAGGAUGGCGACGAGCAAUUGGGUUGAGCAUUUGUCAACGUGAUGGUGUCGUUGCUAAAG